AUGAACGCUGGCGGCAUGCCUAAGACAUGCAAGUCGAACGAGAUGGCCCACAGAUUCAGAAGGAAAACGGAGUGCUUGCACGAAGUUAGAAUUUUGAUGACGUGGAAUUUCCAUCUAGUGGCAAACGGGUGAAUAACACGUGGGUAACCUACCUCUAAGUUGGGGAUAACAGUUGGAAACGACUGAUAAUACCGAAUAAGCUCUGCGGAGUAAAGAAGCCAUUAAGCUUCGCUAAGAGAUGGGCCUGCGGCGUAUUAGCUAGUUGGUGGGGUAAGAGCCUACCAAGGCGACGAUGCGUAGCCGAACUGAGAGGUUGAUCGGCCACACUGGGACUGAGACACGGCCCAGACUCCUACGGGAGACAGCAGUUAGGAAUAUUCGUCAAUGGGGGGAACCCUGAACGAGCAAUGCCGCGUGAAUGAAGAAGGCCCUAUGGGUUGUAAAAUUCUGUUGUAUGGAAAGAAAUGUAAAGUUAGGAAAUGAACUUUACUUGACGGUACCAUUCAAGAAAGCCACGGCUAACUACGUGCCAGCAGCCGCGGUAAUACGUAGGUGGCGAGCGUUAUCCGGAUUUAUUGGGCGUAAAGGGUGCGUAGGCGGUAUGUUAAGUAUAAAAUAAAAGCCCGAAGCUUAACUUCGGUUCGUUUUAUAAACUGGCAAACUAGAGUACAGUAGAGGCAAAUGGAAUUCCUAGUGUAGUGGUAAAAUGCGUAGAUAUUAGGAGGAACACCAGUGGCGAAGGCGAUUUGCUGGGCUGUAACUGACGCUGAGGCACGAAAGCGUGGGGAGCAAAUAGGAUUAGAUACCCUGGUAGUCCACGCCGUAAACGAUGAGUGCUAGGUGUUAGGCCCUUUCCGGGGCUUAGUGCCGGAGCUAACGCAAUAAGCACUCCGCCUGGGGAGUACGACCGCAAGGUUGAAACUCAAAGGAAUUGACGGGGGCCCGCACAAGCGGUGGAGCAUGUGGUUUAAUUCGAAGCAACGCGAAGAACCUUACCAAGUCUUGACAUCCUUCUGACCGGACAGUAAUGUGUCCUUUCCUUCGGGACAGAAGUGACAGGUGGUGCAUGGUUGUCGUCAGCUCGUGUCGUGAGAUGUUUGGUUAAGUCCAAUAACGAGCGCAACCCUCUUCCUAAGUUGCUAACAUUAAGUUGAGAACUCUUAGGAUACUGCCAGUGCAAACUGGAGGAAGGUGGGGAUGAGGUCAAAUCAUCAUGCCCCUUACAUCUAGGGCUACAGGCGUGCUACAAUGGCCGAUACAAAGAGUUGCAACACAGUGAUGUGAAGCUAAUCUCGAAAGUCGGUCCCAGUCCGGAUUGGAGUCUGCAACUCGACUCCAUGAAGUUGGAAUCGCUAGUAAUCCCGAAUCAGAAUGUCGGGGUGAAUACGUUCCCGGGUGUUGUACACACCGCCCGUCACGCCAUGGGAGUCUGUAAUGCUUGAAGUCGGUAACCAAACCCGUAAGGGAUGGGGCCGCCGAGGGUAGGACAGGUGACUGGGGUG
rnacentral:rRNA from 1 species